rnacentral:rRNA from 1 species
GACGAACGCUGGCGGCGUGCCUAAUACAUGCAAGUCGAACGCACUCUCGUUUAGAUUGAAGGAGCUUGCUCCUGAUUGAUAAACAUUUGAGUGAGUGGCGGACGGGUGAGUAACACGUGGGUAACCUGCCCUAAAGUGGGGGAUGACAUUUGGAAACAGAUGCUAAUACCGCAUAAAACCUAACACCGCAUGGUGUAGGGUUGAAAGAUGGUUUCGGCUAUCACUUUAGGAUGGACCCGCGGUGCAUUAGUUAGUUGGUGAGGUAAAGGCUCACCAAGACCGUGAUGCAUAGCCGACCUGAGAGGGUAAUCGGCCACACUGGGACUGAGACACGGCCCAGACUCCUACGGGAGGCAGCAGUAGGGAAUCUUCCACAACUGGACGAAAGUCUGAUGGAGCAACGCCGCGUGAGUGAAGAAGGUUUUC